rnacentral:lncRNA from 1 species
CUUUUCCAGUCCAGCCUCUCCUUGCACUGCUGUGUAUUUUCCUGUCCAAGAAGCCUGGAAAAAAGGGGGUGGGUGGGUGAUGAUGGUGGUGGUGGUGUCGGAGGAGGGGGUGCGGAGGCGAGAGCAAAGAAGAAGCAGAUCGGAGGUCAAGUUCGGAAAGAGGGGAACCGGGGAGGAGGUGGAGGAGGAAGGGAAAGGAGGGAUUCGGCUCUCCCCCCCCUCCUACAUCAAGAAGGGGGGGGGGAUGAAAAUGGGAGGGCAAUAGAAUGACAGUCCUUCCCCCCCCCCAUCACCACCCCUAGUUCUCUUCCCGCGUCUCUCUCCUGGCUCUCCCCUCCUGGUACACCUUGAAGACACAUAGCCUUUGUCUGGAUCUCUCCCCCCCACACACACACACACCCCCUCUUCCAAACAAGGCACACUUUGUGGGACCUGUAAAUGGGGUGGCGAGGAAGUUUGUGGGGUUUUUGGGGGGGAGAGAGAGGAUCUCGGCAGAGCCGCCCCCCUCCUCGUGGAUCAGGUCAUCUCCCGGCUCAAGCCCCCGAAGAGCGCAUCUCUGAAGAUGAACCCCGUCCCGAGCAGGGAAUAAUUUACCAGACACUAAAAGAUGUUAGGGACGUGGUGGCGUUGCAGGUUAAACUGCAGAAGCCUCUGUGCUGCAGGGUCAGAAGACCAGCAGUCGUAAGAUCGAAUCCACGCAACGGAGUGAGCUCCCGUCACUUGUCCCAGCUCUUGCCAACCUAGCAGUUCAAAAGCAUGUAAAAAUGUGAGUGGAUAAAUAGGUACCACCUCGGUGGGAAGGUAAGGGUGUUCUGUGUCUAGUCGCACUGGCCACGUGAUCACGGAAAAUGUCUUCGGGCAAAGGCUGGCUCUACGGCUUGGAGAUGGGGAUGAGCCCUGCGCCCUAGAGUCAGAC